rnacentral:misc_RNA from 1 species
CAGUGCCAACCUAAUUGUACCAGUUAAAAGGGACAACAAACUUCAACACUACUGCUCCAAAAACCUCAUCCUCACAUGGAGGCCUACAGCUACAUGACAUUAUCAAAUUGGAAUUAUAUAUGUUUCCCUCAAUAUGAGUUGAUCAGGACAACCACAUUUACUAAGUCCCUCAAUAUAACAAUUCAUUAUUCAUCCUCAAUGAAUAAAAGAAACCAAAGAGAAAGGGAAGAAAACCUACAUAAAGGCAGGCAAAAUACAGAAUGUAAAAUACACUAGUAAGGGAAUAACCUGAAUAAGGAUUUGAUUGGAUGUCUUCAAUAUCACUGAUCAAUAUAAUCAUGAUGUGGACUGGUGGUACCAGCUUCUGGCUUGGCUGCUUCAUCACCCCUUCUACUGUUAUCAUCAACUACCAGCACAUCAUCCAU